rnacentral:piRNA from 2 species
UAGGUGGAGUCUCGCUUAGAGCGGGUCAGU